UAUAGUUGAAGAAGACUGCAAU
rnacentral:sRNA from 1 species